ACAAGCGGUGGAGCAUGUGGUUAAUUCGAAGCAACGCGAAGAACCUUACCAGGCCUUGACAUGCAGAGAACUUUCCAGAGAUGGAUUGGUGCCUUCGGGAACUCUGACACAGGUGCUGCAUGGCUGUCGUCAGCUCGUGUCGUGAGAUGUUGGGUUAAGUCCCGUAACGAGCGCAACCCUUGUCCUUAGUUACCAGCACGUUAUGGUGGGCACUCUAAGGAGACUGCCGGUGACAAACCGGAGGAAGGUGGGGGAUGACGUCAAGUCAUCAUGGCCCUUACGGCCUGGGCUACACACGUGCUACAAUGGUCGGUACAAAGGGUUGCCAAGCCGUGAGGUGGAGCUAAUCCCAUAAAACCGAUCGUAGUCCGGAUCGCAGUCUGCAACUCGACUGCGUGAAGUCGGAAUCGCUAGUAAUCGUGAAUCAGAAUGUCACGGUGAAUACGUUCCCGGGCCUU
rnacentral:rRNA from 1 species